rnacentral:tRNA from 1 species
GGAGAGGUGCCGGAGCGGCCGAACGGGCACGCUUGGAAAGCGUGUGACCCCGAAAGGGGUCCGGGGGUUCGAAUCCCUUCCUCUCCGCCA